rnacentral:lncRNA from 1 species
GCCUGGACAUGGAGAGCACGUCAUUCUCUUCAUUUCCAGAAGCUGGAGCUGGGGCCUAUUAGGCGGUAGUAUAGUGGAGGUGCUUGGUCACAUUAACCUCUCUUGGCUUCACUAGUCUUCCAUCCUUGAAGUCAGAAUAUAAUUAUUCACCCCCUGAAUCCUCCAUAUGCUAAUAUACCUACUACCAGUAUAUAUCAGUGAUCCAGCAGAGAAGAUGAGAUUCAGAACCCCAUCAUGGAAUUAAAAAGGCAUUAUGAAAUAUGGCUUCAAAAUCUAGUGCAUGACAUUUGUGCUUCUAGAUCAUGCUUGUGUUUCUGUACCGGAUUUGUUCUACACUGUUAUAAAGCUACAGCUUCUCCUUCUGUUGUUAUUCUGAAAGGGAGAUUGAGGUAAAAGAGAAUUUUGUGCUGCUUUCUAGACUUUGUUUUCCUAGCACUGCCUUCAGAACUCCUGCCUGGCAUGAGAGUAGGCCAGAAUAACGUGUAUAGCCCGUGACAGCAGCAAAAUGAGGCUAACAAAUAUCCUACUGAGGAUGCGGUUUGACAGCUUCAUCCAUCCAGCUGAAUUUGCAUUCAAGAGUCAAGAACUCAAAUUAUUCUCAUCAGUGGGAGCCUAUUUGAGGAAUUCGACUGUAUGACUGAAACAUCUCCUGGGCUGCUUUUCUAAACAGCACAUCGGAAUAAAAGGUUUCUUUUUUAAUUGAAGCUCUGGAAGAAUUUCUGUUCUCAGAGGCCUAUAGAAAAAGUCAGUUCAAAAAUAGAAAAAUAAAUGCAGAGAGACUGCGCAGAAAAGAAGACCUGAAAGAUGGAUGUUUUGUUGUGUUCAUUGUUGCUGAAGUAGGAAAAAAUGUGCAAAAAAAUAAAAAUAUAAACAUAAAAAAUGGCCACUUACGACUGGUUUACACUUGAAAUAUUUAAGAAGUAAGAAAAGCGUGUUCUCCAGCUCCUGAAACGUCUAUUGUGCCCAAGUAACUAUGCUAACUAUCUGUUGGUGUAAGUGGAUGCCACCUCAUGGAUUUCAGUGGCAUAUCAUCUCUUCAAACAAGCAGAGAGAGUGGAAGACAUUUGACACAAACAGAAGGAUCGUACUUGCUUAUGUAUACCUCUGUGUGCCAUUGACAUGGAAGGCUUUGACUUUAGGCCAGUGCGUGUUUGGUCAGCCAGGCGAUAGGGUAGCUCAAAAAAAUCUGAAAGCAUGAGGACAUGACAAGCUAUUCAAGGAGCAAUCGACCGUAAUUUAUUUAAAGCAAAGCGAAGACCCUGUGUAAAGUUCUCAUUUCAAUAACAGCUGAUUCAUUCUGCACGGUUUGCCUGCAGAUUUCUUCUGAGAUGAUCUCUAAGUCAGAGUAGAGCAAAAGGAAAAGGUAAGAGCCAGUUAGGUGGAAGAGUAAUUAGAGUUUUCAAGUAUUUGUCCAGUGGAACCCUUUAAUGCUUCUUGUGGAGAUGUUUAAUUUUAGAUUAUUGUCACUUCUGAAGUUCUCAACACUCACUGCUGUAAGCUGUAAAUGAACCCAGAGCCGUCAUUCUAAACCUGUUUGGAAUGGGGAAGCUGCAAUGGGCUGCUUUUCCUGCCGCACUUGAUCCAGGUGCUGCAGUUGUAUUUCUUCAUCACUGCUCUCACUGCUAG